GGGAUUGUGGCUCAGUGGCAGAGCACUUGCCUCACACGUAUGAGGCACUGGGUUCGAUCCUCAGCACCA
rnacentral:tRNA from 1 species